AUAAAUACAAUGAUAAAAGAAGUAGUAGAUCGGUUUAUACAGAGAGUUCAAAUUAGCUGAGAUUGAACGUUACGAUUGAAUUCGCUUUUUGAUGUUAGCAUUGAAUAUUAAAAAUGUUCGGUUGAUGUCGUUAUUCAUCAUCUAUAAGUGCACACUUUAGUGUGAAUUUGGGUGGUAACGCGAUGCUUCGUCCCUUUG
rnacentral:ncRNA from 1 species